UAGUCCACGCCGUAAACGAUGUCUACUAGCCGUUGGGGAACUUGAGUCCUUAGUGGCGCAGCUAACGCACUAAGUAGACCGCCUGGGGAGUACGGCCGCAAGGUUAAAACUCAAAUGAAUUGACGGGGGCCCGCACAAGCGGUGGAGCAUGUGGUUUAAUUCGAUGCAACGCGAAGAACCUUACCAGGUCUUGACAUCCUGAAAACUUUCCAGAGAUGGAUUGGUGCCUUCGGGAAUUCAGUGACAGGUGCUGCAUGGCUGUCGUCAGCUCGUGUCGUGAGAUGUUGGGUUAAGUCCCGGCAACGAGCGCAACCCCUAUACUUAGUUGCCAGCAAGUAAUGUUGGGGACUCUAAGUAGACUGCCUGCGCAAGCAGAGAGGAAGGUGGGGACGACGUCAAGUCAUCAUGGCCCUUACGCCCAGGGCUACACACGUGCUACAAUGGAACGCACAGAGGGCAGCAAACCCGCGAGGGGGAGCGAAUCCCACAAAACGUUUCGUAGUCCGGAUCGG
rnacentral:rRNA from 1 species